rnacentral:rRNA from 1 species
UACGUAGGGGGGCAAGCGUUGUCCGGAAUCAUUGGGCGUAAAGCGCGCGUAGGCGGCCCGAUAAGUCUGCUGUGAAAGUCCAGGGCUCAACCCUGGAAUGCCGGUGGAUACUGUCGGGGCUAGAGUGCGGAAGAGGCGAGUGGAAUUCCUGGUGUAGCGGUGAAAUGCGCAGAUAUCAGGAGGAACACCUAUUGCGAAGGCAGCUCGCUGGGACGUAACUGAC